rnacentral:rRNA from 1 species
GGUUAAGUGACUAAGCGUACACGGUGGAUGCCUGGGCAGUCAGAGGCGAUGAAGGACGUACUAACUUGCGAUAAGCGCAGAUAAGGCAGUAAGAGCCGUUUGAGUCUGCGAUUUCCGAAUGGGGAAACCCAACUGCAUAAGCAGUUACUGUUAACUGAAUACAUAGGUUAACAGAGCAAACCGGGGGAACUGAAACAUCUAAGUACCCCGAGGAGAAGAAAUCAACCGAGAUUCCGGUAGUAGCGGCGAGCGAACCUGGAUUAGCCCUUAAGCACUCGGUGAAGUAGGUGAACAAGCUGGAAAGCUUGGCGAUACAGGGUGAUAGCCCCGUAACCGACGCUUCAUCGAGCGUGAAAUCGAGUAGGGCGGGACACGUGAUAUCCUGUCUGAAUAUGGGGGGACCAUCCUCCAAGGCUAAAUACUCCUGACUGACCGAUAGUGAACCAGUACCGUGAGGGAAAGGCGAAAAGAACCCCUGUGAGGGGAGUGAAAUAGAACCUGAAACCGUGUACGUACAAGCAGUAGGAGCACCUUCGUGGUGUGACUGCGUACCUUUUGUAUAAUGGGUCAGCGACUUAUAUUCAGUGGCAAGGUUAACCGUAUAGGGGAGCCGUAGCGAAAGCGAGUCUUAACUGGGCGCUCAGUCUCUGGAUAUAGACCCGAAACCGGGUGAUCUAGCCAUGGGCAGGUUGAAGGUUGAGUAACAUCAACUGGAGGACCGAACCGACUAAUGUUGAAAAAUUAGCGGAUGACUUGUGGCUAGGGGUGAAAGGCCAAUCAAACUCGGAGAUAGCUGGUUCUCCCCGAAAGCUAUUUAGGUAGCGCCUCGGACGAAUACUACUGGGGGUAGAGCACUGUUAAGGCUAGGGGGUCAUCCCGACUUACCAACCCUUUGCAAACUCCGAAUACCAGUAAGUACUAUCCGGGAGACACACGGCGGGUGCUAACGUCCGUCGUGGAGAGGGAAACAACCCAGACCGCCAGCUAAGGUCCCAAAGUAUUGCUAAGUGGGAAACGAUGUGGGAAGGCUCAGACAGCUAGGAUGUUGGCUUAGAAGCAGCCAUCAUUUAAAGAAAGCGUAAUAGCUCACUAGUCGAGUCGGCCUGCGCGGAAGAUGUAACGGGGCUAAGCAAUACACCGAAGCUGCGGCAAUGUCUUUUAGACAUUGGGUAGGGGAGCGUUCUGUA